GAGUUUGAUCAUGGCUCAGAUUGAACGCUGGCGGUAGGCUUAACACAUGCAAGUCGAACGAUAGCAGGAAGAAAGCUUGCUUUUUUUGCUGACGAGUGGCGGACGGGUGAGUAAUGCUUGGGAAUCUGGCUUAUGGAGGGGGAUAACUGUGGGAAACUGCAGCUAAUACCGCGUAUAAUCGAGAGAUGAAAGGGUGGGACCGUAAGGCCACUUGCCAUAAGAUGAGCCCAAGUGGGAUUAGGUAGUUGGUGGGGUAAAGGCCUACCAAGCCUGCGAUCUCUAGCUGGUCUGAGAGGAUGGCCAGCCACACUGGGACUGAGACACGGCCCAGACUCCUACGGGAGGCAGCAGUGGGGAAUAUUGCGCAAUGGGGGGAACCCUGACGCAGCCAUGCCGCGUGAAUGAAGAAGGCCUUCGGGUUGUAAAGUUCUUUCGGUGAUGAGGAAGGGGUAUUAUUGAAUAGAUAAUAUCA
rnacentral:rRNA from 1 species